CAGACAGCAGGAAGUCAGAGUCACACUGGGCCUGGCUUGAGCAUGUGAGACUUCGAAGUCUGGCAAACAUGACACACUUCCUCUACCAAGACCACACCUACUCCAUCAAGACCACUCUGAAGAGUGCCAAUCACUAUGAGCCUUUGGGGGAUGCCUUCAUUCAAACAACCACAAGUAAUAGAAAGGAGACAGACAAGUCAAUCCUGUGAGCAGUGAUUGGAAGGUUUUUUACUAAAUGGAAGGAUCACGCUGCAUACUUGUAAUUUAAAUAGAGAGCAUCUAAAGCCUUCUCUGAGGCAGCUGCUGGCAAGUUCAAGACUAAUGAGAAAAACAGCUGAGGAAAUUCUCCCAGAUGAGGUUAUGUCCCUAAGUGAUGG
rnacentral:lncRNA from 1 species